rnacentral:rRNA from 1 species
AGCGAACGCUGGCGGCAGGCCUAACACAUGCAAGUCGAACGAACUCUUCGGAGUUAGUGGCGGACGGGUGAGUAACACGUGGGAACGUGCCUUUUGGUUCGGAAUAACUCAGGGAAACUUGUGCUAAUACCGAAUGUGCCCUUCGGGGGAAAGAUUUAUCGCCAUUAGAGCGGCCCGCGUCUGAUUAGCUAGUUGGUGAGGUAACGGCUCACCAAGGCGACGAUCAGUAGCUGGUCUGAGAGGAUGACCAGCCACACUGGGACUGAGACACGGCCCAGACCCCCCGGGGGGGGCGGAGUGGGGAAUUUGGGGCAAGGGGGGAAAGCCUGACGCAGCCAUGCCGGGGGAAUGAUGAAGGUCUUAGGAUUGAAAAAUUUUUUCACCGGGGACGAUAAGGAGGGUACCCGGAGAAGAAGCCCCGGCAAACUUCGG